GAGUAAUAUGUAGGUUGUUAUCUAAGUACUAAUAAAAAUCACAUAAUCUAACUUAAUCUACUCUAAAGGUAUGUAACAAAUCCUUAACUGCUGCUACAUUACAGUUGCCUAAAUCUAAUUCCAUGACAUCAUCCAUGCUCACCCAGCCUACAAUUAUAUUCUAUUUAAAUCUGCAGUUUG